rnacentral:tRNA from 1 species
GGAAGCUGAUGGGAUCUGGUGGUCUCCGCGGUCUUCAAAACCGUUGGCCGCAUUUUUUGCGGCGGCAGGUUCGAUUCCUGCCUCUUCCGA